GAUGGUCGAAUUUCGAAGUAUUUUUUACUUAGAAAUUCGACCCUUGAUAAAUCUGCCCCUAAAUGUUAUUUUUGGUUCUAUUACCAAAACAGGAGAUUGGGCAACAAUGGCUCAACCUGUCCCAUACUAUCUCAUACAAUGUAUUAUAAUGCCUGUAACACCAAAUACAACUUGUUUAGCCAAAAGUUUGAGAAGUUUUAAUGUGGCAAUGCCUGCCAAUGUGUGGCAAAUUGGAAUGCUUUUUUUUUUUAAACAGCAUAAUCAAUAGACCGUCUGUGUUUGAUUGCUGUGGCUUGUGGCAAUGGUCAGAAUGCAACUACCUACCCUGGAUUGCUUCCCAUGCUGUUUAUUGAUUCUAAUGCUAGAGGAAUUGUGGCCCUUUCCUUUAUGAAGAAGCACUGAUAGAUAAUAUUCCUUGAUAUGCCCAAAAAAAGUAUAUGGUUUAUAAUGAUUUUGAUUAGAUACAUCCUACUAUUUUCCUACCGGCUUUUUCUAUAAUUGAUCAUGUCACCACUGAUGUCAUAAUGGUCACUCCAGAUAAACAACUUGCUUACUCAAUGCGUGAUCAUGUGACCACUGAUGUCAUAAUGCUUGCUCCAGAUAAACAAUAGCUGAUAUCUGUUAGUUGUGUCAGUGUGAGAGAGGAAGCUGAAGAGUGCAGAUGUGCAGUUGUGUCAGUGUGAGAGAGGAAGCUGAAGAGUGCAGAUGUGCAGGCUGUUUGAGGAGCAUCUGUAAAGAAAAUUGAGAACAGUGAGGAAUGGUAUUGGCAAGGAAAGAUGUUUAUGUGUGUCAGAACACCCACGCAUACCCCCCGGGAUGAAGUAUUCAACUGCAGGAAUAUCUGUCCAGCAAAAUCAUUCCUAUUUAGUAACGUUAGUGGUGGUAGCAGGUUUAUGAUAGUAAAGUUUAUGAUGUAGUUGUUGUUAGUGUUUUUUAUGCAUAAACUGUAGGUAUGUUUAUUCUUUAUAUAUAGAGCAUUAGCGCAUAGAGGUGUAGUAACUGAAUGGAUUUUUUAUGGGUCACUUUAUACCCUUGGAGGGGGUAAUACUGCUGAACUGUGUAGAUGAGGCUUCUGUACCUUGUUUGAUCUUGCAGUUCUGGAUUUCUGUUGAUGUAAUACAUAUUAUCUGUGGUGUUUAUAUCUUUCUUUAUAUAUAUUUUAAUAGUUUGCAGAAUUUUUAAUAGUUUGUAGUAUUCUCCUGUUGCAGCCUAUAAUGUGU